rnacentral:rRNA from 1 species
AGCAGCCGCGGUAAUUCCAGCUCCAAUAGCGUAUAUUAAAAUUGUUGCAGUUAAAAAGCUCGUAGUUGAAUUUCGGGGUUAGUAGGUUGGUCAUGCCUCUGGUAUGUACUGGUCUCACUGAUUCCUCCUUCCUGAUGAACCUUAAUGCCAUUUAUUUGGUGUUUUGGGGAAUUUGGACUGUUACUUUGAAAAAAUUAGAGUGUUUAAAGCAAGCUAACGCUUGAAUACAUUAGCAUGGAAUAAUGAAAUAGGACGUUCGAUCCUAUUUUGUUGGUUUCUAGGAUUGACGUAAUGAUUAAUAGGGAUAGUUGGGGGCAUUAGUAUUCAAUUGUCAGAGGUGAAAUUCUUGGAUUUAUUGAAGACUAACUACUGCGAAAGCAUUUGCCAAGGAUGUUUUCAUUAAUCAAGAACGAAAGUUAGGGGAUCGAAGACGAUCAGAUACCGUCGUAGUCUUAACCAUAAACUAUGCCGACUAGGGAUCGGAUGAUGUUAAUUUUUUUAAUGACUCAUUCGGCGCCUU